rnacentral:rRNA from 1 species
AUGAUCGACAAAUUAAGUGAGCCUAUGACAGCACUGUUGUGGAGUUAUGAGAAGUUAGAUCCAUGUCUACAGAGCUGCUUCCUAUAUUGCAGCUUGUUUCCAAAAGGACACAAGUAUGUCAUUGAUGAGUUGGUUCAUCUUUGGAUGGCAGAGGGCCUCCUUGAUUUGUGCAACCAAACCAAGAGAGUGGAAGAUAUUGGGAAGGAUUGUUUCCAGGAGAUGAUCUCUGUUUCAUUCUUUCAACCAGUUGAUGAGAAAUACUCUCGCACAUACUAUGUUAUACAUGAUCUCCUUCAUGAUCUGGCAGAAUCACUCUCCAAAGAGGACUACUUCAGAUUGGAAGAUGAUAAGGUGACAGAAAUACCAUCCACUGUUCGACAUCUAUCUGUCCGUGUUGAUAGUAUAAUGCAACACAAGCAAAGUAUCAGCAAGCUACAUCAUUUACGCACCAUUAUCUGCAUAGACCCCCUAAUGGAUGAUGUAAGUGACCUUUUUAAUCAGAUACUACAGAAUUUGAAGAAGUUGCGCAUAUUAUUUUUGCCAUCUUACAGCAGUAGCAAGUUGCCAGAAUCUGUUGGUGAGUUGAAGCACCUUCGGUAUUUGAACAUCAUCAGAACACUAAUUUCUGAAUUGCCAAGAUCAUUGUGUACUCUUUACCACUUGCAGUUACUUCUAAUAAAUGAUAAAGUUGUGAGUUUGCCUGAUAAACUCUGCAAUUUAAGGAAGUUACGGCAUAUUGAAGGGCAUGAUUAUAGAAUAUAUGAUAUUCAAAAAAGCCUGCCUCAAAUUCAUAACAUUGGCAAGUUAACUUCGCUUCAACAGUUUGAGAGAUUUUCUGUGCAAAAGAAAAAGGGAUGUGAUUUGCAAGAGCUGAGGGAUAUGAACGAGAUCCAUGGCAGUUUAAGUGUCACAAAUCUUCAGAAUGUCAGUGGGAAGGAUCAAGCCUUAGAAUCGAAGCUGCAUCAGAAAAGUCAUCUUAGCAGCUUGCACCUUGUCUGGAGUUGCAAGACUAACACAAAUGCAGAGAAUAAUUUACACUUGGAGAUCCUAGAAGGCUUGAUGCCACCGCCUCAACUUGGGAAUCUUACAAUUGAUGGUUAUGAAUCUUCAAAAUUCCCAGGCUGGUUACUUGGUGGUUCGUAUUUUGAGAAUUUGGAAUCUUUAAGCUUUGUUAAUUGCAGCGCGUUACAAAGCCUACCAUCCAAUACUGAGUUAUUUGGGAAUUGCACUUCACUUGUCCUCUGCAAUGUGCCAAACUUAAAGACACUACCUUUUCUUCCACCAGGCCUGAAAUUGUUAGGGAUAGACAAAUGCCCACUACUUAUAUUUAUUUCCACCGAUGAGUUGGAGCAUCACGAUCAGAGAGAUAAUAUCACAAGGACAGACCACUUGGCAUCACAACUUGGUUUAAUCUGGGAUGUGGAUUCAGGGUCACAUAUUAGGAGUGUAAUCUCGUUGGAACUUUCAUUUCUAAAACAGCUGAUGAUAUUAAUGCAUGCUGAUGUGUCACAUGUUCAAAACCUUGAAAGUGCUCUAGAAAGAGAGGAAGGAGAAGUACUGGUAAAAGAAGAUAUCAUCAAGGCAUGGAUAUACUGUCACAAGCAGAGGAUAAGACUCAUGUAUAAGAGCAUUGCGCUGCCGCUGGUUACAACAUCAGGACUAAGUCAACUUUCUCUUUGUUCAUGCAGUAUUACAGAUGGAGCUUUAGCUGUUUGCCUUGAUGGUCUAGCUUCACUGAAAGAAUUGUGUUUAGAAGAGAUUAUGACUUUAACUACACUUCCUUCAAAAGAGGCUCUCCAACAUUUGACAAAACUUGACCGUUUAUUCAUCAAUUAUUGCUGGUGUCUCAGGUCAUUAGGGGGUUUACGAGCUGCUACCUCUCUUUCAGAUUUUAGAUUGAGUUCCUGCCCUUCUUUAGAAUUGGCACAUGGAGCAGAAUGUUUACCAUUAUUCCUUGAGAGCCUCAAUAUAUUCAAUUGCGUGCUUGAAGCUGAAUUCCUCUGUGCUGACUGGCCACAGAUGAAUGAUAUUCUCAUAAGUGAAUGCAGAAGCACCGCAUGCUUGUCUAUUGGUAGCCUCACCUCUGUUAAAUCACUCUCACUGUAUCACUUGCCAGAUUUAUGUAUGCUCGAAGGAUUGUCUUCCCUGCAACUUCACCACGCACAUUUGAUUGAUGUUCCGAAACUCAAUGCCGACUGUAUCUCCCAGUUUCAAGUGCAGUACUCACUCUAUGUUAGCAGCCCUGUAAUACUCAAUAACAUGCUCUCGGCUGAAGGUAUCACAGUUCCAGCAUUUCUCUCUCUUGAAGGAUGCAAGGAGCCAUUUGUUUCAUUCGAAGAAUCCGCAAACUUCACAUCAGUCAAGACCCUGAGAUUCUGUGGUUGUCUAAUGACUUCCCUGCCAACAAAUAUGAAGUGCUUCUCCAGUCUGAGGAAGCUCGACAUCUAUGAUUGCCCCAACAUAUCAUCUUUACCCGAUCUGCCAUCCUCCCUCCAGCACAUAUGUGUAUGGCGUUGUGAGCUCUUGAAGGAGAGCUGCCGGGCACCUGAUGGAGAAAGUUGGCCAAAGAUCGUGCAUAUCCGCUGGAAGGAAUUUAGAGUGUGA